rnacentral:rRNA from 1 species
CCAAUAGCGCAUAUUAAAGUUGUUGCAGUUAAAAAGCUCGUAGUUGAAUUUCGAGAUCAAUUUGUCGGUCGUGCCUCGGUACGUACUGGCAUUAUUGAUUUCUCCCUUCUGACGAACCGCGAUGUCAUUCAUUUGGUGUCGUGUGGAAUCAGGACUGUUACUUUGAAAAAAUUAGCGUGUUUAAAGCAGGCGCACGCUUGAAUACAUUAGCAUGGAAUAAUGAAAUAGGACGUUUGAUUCUAUUUUGUUGGUUUCUAGGAUCGACGUAAUGAUUAAUAGGGAUAGUUGGGGGCAUUAGUAUUCAAUUGUCAGAGGUGAAAUUCUUGGAUUUAUUGAAGACUAACUACUGCGAAAGCAUUUGCCAAGGAUGUUUUCAUUAAUCAAGAACGAAAGUUAGGGGAUCGAAGACGAUCAGAUACCGUCGUAGUCUUAACCAUAAACUAUGCCGACUAGGGAUCGGAUGAUGUUAAUUUUUUAAUGACUCAUUCGGCGCCUUACG